rnacentral:rRNA from 1 species
GAUGAACGCUGGCGGCGUGCUUAACACAUGCAAGUCGAACGAUGAAGCCCAGCUUGCUGGGUGGAUUAGUGGCGAACGGGUGAGUAACACGUGAGUAACCUGCCCUUAACUCUGGGAUAAGCCUGGGAAACUGGGUCUAAUACCGGAUAGGAGCGCCUACCGCAUGGUGGGUGUUGGAAAGAUUUAUCGGUUUUGGAUGGACUCGCGGCCUAUCAGCUUGUUGGUGAGGUAAUGGCUCACCAAGGCGACGACGGGUAGCCGGCCUGAGAGGGUGACCGGCCAAACUGGGACUGAGACACGGCCCAGACUCCUACGGGAGGCAGCAGUGGGGAAUAUUGCACAAUGGGCGCAAGCCUGAUGCAGCGACGCCGCGUGAGGGAUGACGGCCUUCGGGUUGUAAACCUCUUUCAGUAGGGAAGAAGCGAAAGUGACGGUACCUGCAGAAGAAGCACCGGCUAACUACGUG